AUGGAGACUUUCCCUUAUGUCAUUAAACACAAGAAGGGAAAAGAAAAUGUUAUUGCUGAUGCAUUGUCUCGUCGCUAUACUAUGCUUUCACAACUUGACUUCAAAAUAUUUGGUUUGGAGACCAUCAAAGAUCAAUAUGUGCAUGAUGCUGAUUUUAAAGAUGUAAUGCAGAAUUGUAAAGAAGGAAGAAUGUGGAACAAGUUUGUCGUUAACGAUGGAUUUGUGUUUCGUGCUAACAAGCUAUGCAUUCCAGCUAGCUCCGUUCGUCUUUUGUUGUUGCAGGAGGCGCAUGGAGGAGGAUUAAUGGGACACUUUGGCGUGAAGAAGACGGAGGACGUACUUGCUACACAUUUCUUUUGGCCAAAGAUGAGACGGGAUGUUGAGCGGCUGUUUUGA
rnacentral:rRNA from 1 species